UACGUAGGGGGCUAGCGUUGUCCGGAAUCAUUGGGCGUAAAGAGCGUGUAGGCGGUCCGGUAAGUCCGCUGUGAAAGUCGGGGGCUCAACCCUCGAAUGCCGGUGGAUACUGUCGGGCUAGAGUGCGGAAGAGGCGAGUGGAAUUCCCGGUGUAGCGGGUGAAAUGCGCAGAUAUCGGGAGGAACACCAAUGGCGAAGGCAGCUCGCUGGGACGGUACUGACGCUGAGGCGCGAAAGCGUCGGGAGCAAACAGG
rnacentral:rRNA from 1 species